rnacentral:tRNA from 1 species
AAGGCUUUAGCUUAAUUAAAGUGGCUGUUUUGCAUGCAGUAGAUGGGAGUUAGUAUCUUCCAAGUCUUA